AUUUAUUAUCUCAUUACACAUCUACAAUGAAGCGAAUAUAGCCGUCGUUCGACAACAGAUGAUUGAUUUAUUGUCUGUCACCAUUUAUGUACAUAUGCAAGGUGCGUUCCAAAGUAAACAGAACUUAAAAAAAAAAAACAGAACAAAUAGUUUUUUCAACAAAAUGAAUUUAUUUUAUUCAAAAUAGUCUCCUUCUGCUUCAAUACAGUCGCACGGUGCCAUAUCAGGUGAAUACGAGGAGUGAUUAAUGAUUAAAAUGUAAUUUUUGGUCAAAUAAUCGUCCUUCGAAUGUUGGAUUCUGAGCAAUUUUUGGUCAUCAGUCAGUUUGUACGGAACAAACCAGGCACACAGCUUUCGUAAGCCUAAAUGUUCAGUCAAAAUGCGAUAAAUCGAAGUUUUGGAGAUGUUCAAUUCCACUUCCAUGAAUUUCAAUGAUGAUUUCGACUGAUUUUUGAUGAAUUCACGCACAGUUUCGAUGGAAUUUCCGGUGAUUGCGGAUUUUGUUUGGCUCACAUGUUGAUCGUCAUUUAUGUCCUCACGACCACUUUGAAAACGUUGACACCAAUCAUCGCCAUAAACUUGUUUCAUCAAUUGAAACGUUUCGGUACAAGUUUUACCAAUUUUAAAACAAAAUUUAUUGUUGGCUCUUUCUUCGAAGCUCAUUUUCGCACCGAUAACUCAAACAUACUGACAUUUAAAACGCAAUAACUUUACUUCCAAUCAAUGAAAUGUCAUGAAAUUCUCACUGGACAAUUGAUAAAGAUAGCAAAUUCUAAGGCACUAGUCGGGAUAUAGAUGGCGCUACCAGGGGGCGCUAGAUUCAAAAAGUCCUGUUUACUUUGGAACGCACCUUGUAUUAUUAAAUACUAUUAGAAAAGUCGUGCCUUUUUAAAAACGAGUACCUCUAUUACGUUUUCAACUCCACUCAGUUGAAUUGAAGUUAAUGCAACCAUAUUAAUUUUUGGUAUUACGAACUUCAACUAUUUUCAGUCGAUAAUACAUGUUGUCAGACUAGAAAGUUAAGAUUUUAAAGUUAAUACCACAACAAUUCACUGCAGUUUUUGCUCAGGAAAAGGUGAAUAAUUAUUAAAAACUGAUAUAUUACAAUGACAAAACGUUGGGGCUAAAUGAUGUGCUGAGCAUAAGAAAAAGCCUAUGUGAUUAAAUCCGUUGUAAUUUCCUAACAUCAAGUAAGUCAGAGGUUUUCUUGCAGAUUUUUAAGUAAUUGUCUUUUAAAUGAAGAAGAAUUUAGUUUUUUUCUAAAUGAGGUGACGGAACAUUACCACAAACUCUUUUUCCUUGCUGCCGAUAGUUAAUCAUAAAUGAUUUUAACUUUGGGCUGAAACAACUUGCGAUAUACAUAUGUACAUAUGUAUAUAGACGUUACAAAAAAUGAUUUUAAAUAUGAGGGAAAUUCAGAAUCUUUUGCAUCUGAGUUUGCAAAAUUAUGAAAUUGCAAAUAUUUACCAUCAACAAUGAACGUCUUUUUUGUGGUUUCUGUGCAACCCUUGCAAAGACCAUUAAUUCACAGCUGAUCGGCGAAGAAAAACAUUGUUUGUAAACAAAAUUUUUGCACAAAUUGGAAAAUGUGCCGAAAAAAAGUUUUAGGGAAAAAUUAACUGACGCUUUAAUUAAUGAAGCUGCUGAAGAAAUUAUGGACAUUGAUGAAAUCGAAAGUGAUGAUGACGCAGUGGAUGCAGUUUUAGAUGAAUUGGCUGACAAUAUAUCUGUUAUGGAAUGUCGACGAGGAGUUUACUGCACAAUACCUAAGUCAGACAUUUAUCGCAAUAAUAUUUUGACAACACUGGACGAAGACCGAUUCCGCCAAAUGUUAAGAGUAGAUAGAGACCAAUAUAAGGUGCUGGUUGAGUUAAUAAAAAACGAUGAGCAAUUCAACAAAGCGCGCUCAUGUAAGCAAUUUUCUGUAGAAUAGCAAUUAGCAAUCACAUUGUUUCGAUUGUGUUUGUGGGAGAAAGCGCAGCAUAUAGAAAAAUAGCGACAAUUUUGAAGAUUGAAGACCAUAUAUCAUACUUCUCCAGAAAUCACAUAUAUUCAAUAAAAGCACAUAAAAGUGACUAUAAACGAGUAAUUCGACAUGUUGUGGUUGGUCACCCUGGGAGCUGGCAUGAUGCCCGUAUAUAUGCUGUAUUCUCUUCAACAUUUUUAUUAAUAAUGGUUCCACUUCGUCCGAUGACGGUUCAGAUUCGUCCACCACUACGGAAGAUUCUAUUGAACCUGAUGACCAUAUACUCAACAAUGUUGGAGAAAUUAAAAGACAAAAUUAAAUGUAAUUUAAUUCAUUUGUCAGUUUUUAAUUACAUAUAUUUUUACAUAAAACUAUUGUAUACAAAAUAAA